CAGUAGCCGCGGUAAUACGAAGGGGGCUAGCGUUGCUCGGAAUGACUGGGCGUAAAGGGCGCGUAGGCGGUUUGCACAGUCAGAUGUGAAAUUCCUGGGCUUAACCUGGGGGCUGCAUUUGAUACGUGCGGACUUGAGUGUGAAAGAGGGUCGUGGAAUUCCCAGUGUAGAGGUGAAAUUCGUAGAUAUUGGGAAGAUCACCGGUGGCGAAGGCGGCGACCUGGUUCAUGACUGACGCUGAGGCGCAAAAGCGUGGGGAGCAAACAGGAUUAGAUACCCCAGUAGUCCCUGUCUCUUAUAC
rnacentral:rRNA from 1 species